rnacentral:rRNA from 1 species
CCUACGGGAGGCAGCAGUGAGGAAUAUUGGUCAAUGGGCGCGAGCCUGAACCAGCCAAGUAGCGUGAAGGAUGACUGCCCUACGGGUUGUAAACUUCUUUUAUAAAGGAAUAAAGUGAGGCACGUGAGCCCUUUUGUAUGUAUUUUAUGAAUAAAGAUCGGCUAACUCCGUGCCAGCAGCGGCGGUAAUACGGAGGAUCCGAGCGUUAUCCGGAUUUAUUGGGUGUAAAGGGAGCGUAGAUGGGUUUUUAAGUCAGUUGUGAAAGUUUGCGGCUCAACCGUAAAAUUGCAAUUGAUACUGGCAGCCUUGAGUGCAGUUAGGGUAGGCGGAAUUCGUGGUGUAGCGGUGAAAUGCUUAGAUAUCACGAAGAACUCCGAUUGCGAAGGCAGCCUACUAGACUGCCACUGACAUUGAUGCUCGAAAGUGUGGGUAUCAAACAGGAUUAGAUACCCUGGUAGUC